rnacentral:pre_miRNA from 1 species
UGUUUCGUUUUAAUUGUAGUUGUGAGUUUCUAUGUUCAACAUUUGAUCAUCCGUCUUAUUCGAUUUUUUUAUUAGUAUUUUUAUUAUUAUUAUAUGAUAAAAGAUUAAUAGUACUUUAUGCAUGACUUAUAUUUUUAAUUUUUUUAUAUUUUUAAAUAAGAUAGACAGUUAAACGUUCACGGAAACCCGCUAAAAUAGAACGGACGGAGC